UAAGUGCUCAAUAAAUACUAACAACGGAUAGAUAAAUGUGGAGAUGACAGUGAGUUUUCCUGGUGGCAGGCAGAGAGAGUUGGAGGGAAUCAGGCACCUGACUCCGGCAAGAAAACACUAAAGGAAAUUCCACUAAGAAAAAACCCCACAAAUUCAAUUUGAACAGGCUUGUUCCAGGCCAUGCAGCACAACACUAAAAAAAAAAAAAGACAGACAUCGUUUCUCAGGCUGAAAACUGAUACGGCCAAGCACCCAAAGAAGAUUAAACACAGCAGGGAAACAGAGGAGAAAGCCAUGCAAGUCAACGGUUCAGGUGACUGUAGAAGUCUCCUGGAAGUGAAGCAGGACUACACCGAACAAAACCAAUGAGUUUGUUCCUUCCACGACGGAACUGAUUCCUGCAGCUCUUAUCCCGGCCGGACGCACUUGCGGGACAGCUGCAACUCAUGCCCUCCCUGGAGGUUCCUGCGGUAACUAGGUAUGCUGAUGAGCCUCAAAGGACCAACAGGUAGAACGUGAGCCACAUGUGUGCAGAGUGGCCAAAUGUUUUCCAAAAAGUUUCCAGGCUCACUGGUGGGAAGAAUAAAAUGUUUUCUGAACUGUUGA